rnacentral:tRNA from 1 species
AUUUUUGUAGCUUAAACUUAAAGCGUAACAUUGAAGCUGUUAAAAUGGCUACUUGCCCGAGAAUA